GAUGAACGCUGGCGGCGUGCCUAAUACAUGCAAGUCGAGCGAACGGACGAGAAGCUUGCUUCUCUGAUGUUAGCGGCGGACGGGUGAGUAACACGUGGAUAACCUACCUAUAAGACUGGGAUAACUUCGGGAAACCGGAGCUAAUACCGGAUAAUAUUUUGAACCGCAUGGUUCAAAAGUGAAAGACGGUCUUGCUGUCACUUAUAGAUGGAUCCGCGCUGCAUUAGCUAGUUGGUAAGGUAACGGCUUACCAAGGCAACGAUGCAUAGCCGACCUGAGAGGGUGGUCGGCCACCCGGGAGCUACGACACGGACCGGACGACUACGGGAGGGAGCAGGGGGGAAUCUUCGGCAAUGGGCGAAAGCAUGACGGAGCAAGUACGCGGGAGAGAUGAAGUUCUUCGGAUCGUAAAACUCUGUUGAUAGGGAAGAACAAAAGUGUAAGUACAUGUGCAGAUCUUGACGGUACCUAAUCAGAAAGCCACGGCUAACUACGU
rnacentral:rRNA from 1 species